UCGGGAAUUUUGCCCAAUGGACGAAAGUCUGAGGCAGCAACUCCGCGUGAGGGAUGAAGGCCUUCGGGUCGUAAACCUCUUUUCUCAGGGAAGAUUCAAGACGGUACCUGAGGAAUAAGCCACGGCUAACUACGUGCCAGCAGCCGCGGUAAUACGUAGGUGGCAAGCGUUGUACGGAUUUACUGGGCGUAAAGAGCGCGCAGGCGGCUGGGCAAGUCCGAUGUGAAAGCUUCCGGCUUAACUGGAAAAUUGCAUCGGAAACUGCUCGGCUUGAAGGUGGGAGAGGGUAGCGGAAUUCCCGGUGUAGUGGUGAAAUGCGUAGAUAUCGGGAGGAAAACCAGUGGCGAAGGCGGCUACCUGGCCCAUUCUUGACGCUGAGGCGCGAAAGCUAGGGGAGCAAACGGG
rnacentral:rRNA from 1 species